UACGUAGGGGGCGAGCGUUGUCCGGAAUUAUUGGGCGUAAAGCGCGCGCAGGCGGUUCCUUAAGUCUGAUGUGAAAGCCCACGGCUCAACCGUGGAGGGUCAUUGGAAACUGGGGGACUUGAGUGCAGGAGAGGAGAGCGGAAUUCCACGUGUAGCGGUGAAAUGCGUAGAGAUGUGGAGGAACACCAGUGGCGAAGGCGGCUCUCUGGCCUGCAACUGACGCUGAGGCGCGAAAGCGUGGGGAGCAAACAGG
rnacentral:rRNA from 1 species